GUGGUUGUAGCUCAGUUGGUUAGAGCGCCUGGUUGUGGCCCAGGAGGCCGCGGGUUCAAGUCCCGUCAUCCACCCCA
rnacentral:tRNA from 1 species